rnacentral:rRNA from 1 species
UACGGAGGGUCCGAGCGUUAUCCGGAUUUAUUGGGUUUAAAGGGUUCGUAGGCGGUAAUAUAAGUCAGUGGUGAAAUCCUGCAGCUCAACUGUAGAACUGCCAUUGAAACUGUAUUACUUGAGUAUACUUGAGGUAGGCGGAAUAUGUAGUGUAGCGGUGAAAUGCUUAGAUAUUACAUAGAACACCGAUUGCGAAGGCAGCUUACUAAGGUAUAACUGACGCUGAUGAACGAAAGCGUGGGGAGCGAACAGG